rnacentral:lncRNA from 1 species
CUCACCCAAUUACCUUUCCUAGUAUAUCUUCAUCUUGUUAAAGUGUAUGAGAACUGCUUUGGAGAGUCUAAUAAGUCCAAAUGAGCAUUAAAAAGGAGAGAGAGUAGGAGAAGUAUCUCUUGAGAAAGAUUAAAAAGCGAGCACAGGCUGAGUGCAGUGGGUCACGCCUGUAGUCUCAGCACUUUGGGAGGUCGAGGUAGGCAGAUUGCUGGAACUCAGGAGUUCGAGACCAGCCUGGACAACAUGGCAAAAUCCUGUUUCUACAAAAGGACUGUUUUCUAUUUGAUUGGGAAGUGUUAGAAUGGCAACAGUGACAAAUCCUGUGGCAAAUCUUCAUGCAAAGGUCUUUGGUGUUUCUUUAAUUUCAUAUAUAUUACCUACUAUGUGACAAGCACACUGUGCCAGGUUCCAAAUAUAAAAGGUAAGAGUAAAUUAAGGAAUGCAUUAUAGCUGUUAAAGCAAUCUUAAGGGAAAUCCGAAGCUUCCACUGCAGCACCAUGCUUAGUAAGUAAUAAAUUACAUGUUAUAGUUAUUUGCCUUAAUUCAUGCUAAUUUUGUCCAAUUAAUGUAUCACAGUAAUUCAGAAGCCUGUCACAGGAGAGCUAAUUAUUUAUGGGAUUUUUGUGUUCAGCUCCCUAGGAGUCUACUAGCAAACAAACUUGCGACUGUCUUUCUCUCAGGUCCACAUUGACAUUCUUAUGUCUCACUGUAGGGAAGUAAAAUUUUUCCCACUGUUUCCAGUUUUAAAAAUUGUGGGGUAUCUAAGGCCUGUUCUUGGUUUUUUGAUUGAUGAAAUAGUUUGACAGCCUGCUGCUCUGUUAGGACAAGACCUACUUUCUUCUGUAUCAAACU